rnacentral:rRNA from 1 species
GACAUCCCUCUGACCGGGUGGUAACGCACCCUUCCCUUCGGGGCAGAGGAGACAGGUGGUGCAUGGUUGUCGUCAGCUCGUGUCGUGAGAUGUUGGGUUAAGUCCCGCAACGAGCGCAACCCUUGUCAUUAGUUGCCAGCAGUUCGGCUGGGCACUCUAGUGAGACUGCCGGGGAUAACUCGGAGGAAGGUGGGGAUGACGUCAAAUCAUCAUGCCCCUUAUGUUCUGGGCUACACACGUGCUACAAUGGCUGGUACAAAGAGAAGCGAGACCGCGAGGUGGAGCAAAUCUCAAAAACCAGUCCCAGUUCGGAUUGCAGGCUGCAACUCGCCUGCAUGAAGUUGGAGUUGCUAGUAAUCGCGAAUCAGAAUGUCGCGGUGAAUGCGUUCCCGGGUCUUGUACACACCGCCCGUCACACCAUGGAAGUUGGGGGCACCCGAAGUCGGCUAAUUAAUAGGCUGCCUAAGGUGAAAUCAAUGACUGGGGUG